AACGAACGCUGGCGGCGUGCCUAACACAUGCAAGUCGUGCGAGAAAAGGGGGGCAACUCCCUGAGUACAGCGGCGCACGGGUGAGUAACACGUAGGUAACCUACCCUCGAGCCCGGGAUAACCUACCGAAAGGUGGGCUAAUACCGGAUGUGACCACGGGAGUUUCGGCUCCUGAGGUAAAAGAUGGCCUCUGCUUGCAAGCUAUCACUCGCGGAGGGGCCUGCGCGCCAUUAGCUAGUUGGCGGGGUAAUGGCCCACCAAGGCUCUGAUGGCUAGCUGGUCUGAGAGGAUGGCCAGCCACACUGGGACUGAAACACGGCCCAGACUCCUACGGGAGGCAGCAGUGGGGGAUAUUGCGCAAUGGGCGAAAGCCUGACGCAGCGACGCCGCGUGGGUGAUGAAGGCCUUCGGGUCGUAAAGCCCUGUCGAGGGGGACGAACCGGCCGCGACCGAAUACGUCGCGACCCUGACGGUACCCCUAAAGGAAGCACCGGCUAACUCCGUGCCAGCCGCCGCAGUAA
rnacentral:rRNA from 1 species